rnacentral:ncRNA from 2 species
UGCUCAACUCGCGGUGCUGGUAGCUUCCCCGCCUCACGGCGCGGGGAAUCCGGUGAGAGACCGGAGCUGGCGCGCAGCGGUAUGGGUGACGAACGGCUCGCAGUCCCGCCGACCCGAACGGGUCGGGAAGGGGAGCCGGGAGGACGACCCCGAGCCCGAAUAUCCGUCCGUGAGUCACGUGCAGC